rnacentral:lncRNA from 1 species
AUUGCUUUACCUUCUGAAUAACAGCUCAGCUCAAAAAUGGCGGCGUUCGUACAGCCACUACUCGCUCCACCACGCAUUAGACUCGUUACAAGUGUCGCCGAAACUCGCUCUACUCCUCGCUGGCGACAGUAAUUGGUUUUGAUUAUGAUCAUUUGAAUUGGAAUCACCAUUUUUUUCCUUUCUGAUUUUUUUAUGAUCAUCUGUACGGAGAAUCAUUCCUUUUGUAAUUCAUUCAAAAAAUAACUUCUUGUUUUUUUUAAAUCUCACUUUCAUAAUUUGUGAUAAGUUGAUAACAAAAUACAUCAAAAGCAAUGGUUGGUUCGGAACUAAACAGGUAAAAUAAUAUUAUUAUUUCUUGAGAUUAAACAAAUAUAAAAUUUUUACUCGGAUCAUUAAAUUCUAUGAUGUUGUAUAAUAUCCAGGUCCGAAUUUUAGUUCGGGAUCAAUUUGGAUAUUUAUAAAAAUAAUUACAAAUUAAUUUUAAAUUAAAUUAAUUUUAUUUUAUUAAAUUAUUUGAAAAAAAUAAGUUAGGACGUAAUUGAAAGCAAUUUUAGAAAAAAUAGAUAAAAAUUUGAAUUCGAGUAUGACGUGUGGCAAAAGACGCUGACAUCAGCACCACGCAGGAGGUCACGCAGGUGAUUCGUGUGCCCAGCAAUUUGACAGCCCAGGUUCGAACAUGCGGGCGUGAAUGGCUCAGAUACAUUCCUUCCUUAAGUGCGAUUGAAUAGACGAGAUCAAUCAGGAUGAAUGGUUCAGAUUCGCCCACGUAAUCGGCUUAAAAAGGCAACAAUCGGACAGUUCUUCUCGCUCCACGUCGAUGCAGAUGGACGGCUUAGAUCAACGUGGGAUGAGUAUAUGAACAUCACAUCGUAAGAGGACCCCAACCCUAGCCGCCCUGCCCUUGCCGGAGAAUAAAGACCAGCCGCCGGAGAAGGAGACUGAUCCUCGGUCGCCACUGCACUAAAGCCACCAUCGAUCGCCAAAAAAGGUAAAAUUCUUCUCUACCCACUUGAAAUUCGAUUCUGAGUCUCUCCAUGGCCGUAUUGGAGCAAAAAGGGUGAUGGAUGAGCCAAAAAUUGUGGACAAAGCCCGCAGCCGAAACCCUAAAACUCCUCCGAUGAGUCCAUUCCCAUUUCUCGUUUCACAUGAUUUUUCGACCAUUAUAUUCAUCGUCCUUUUCUGUGCAGGUUAGCCGAAGAAGAAAUUCCAAUCGCGAAGGAGAAUCGGCAGAGUCGCACAAGGAGAUCCCUCUGCCGGUAGGUUCGGUUUUUUUGUGAUUUUGGCAAAUCAAUUCCACUUAACGUAUUUUUUCACAGGGGUACGGGUAAAAUCAGCCAAAAUCAAUCAAAACCGACUAGGCUAAGGCAAAUCGCUAUCGUGGCUAGUGGAGCCAACACUGGAGCACAACGACAUCACCGUUCCGAGACCCUAAAAUUGACUGGAAAUGAUUUUCAACACCGAUUUGAGAUUUUUGGGGUAUUUCUAGUUGCGUAACGAGUAUUUUAGAUUUUUGCAUGAAAAUUUAGGAAAUUUGGGGCCUAUUAGUAGGUGUAGUAGAAAAUGCGGCGUCUCAAAAUGCCAAUACGGGUAAGGAUCCCUCAUCAUAUUCAUUGUUACGGUAAAUAGAGGCUUUAUAAUUAAUAAUUGUGUAUUUUGUAAAAACUAAAACAAAACCCUAAUAAUAAUUACAGGUUAAUAGUAGAGCCGAAAAACUGGUCAGUGUACGAUUGCUUUAAGCUCGUCUAUGCGACAAUUUAUUUUCCUGUACGAAAUUGCUUAUUUCAUCUAUACCAUUCAUUUGUUGUUAGACUGUUGAUGUUGCUUACCACAUACACUUUAAUUC